rnacentral:rRNA from 1 species
UACGGAGGGUGCAAGCGUUAUCCGGAUUCACUGGGUUUAAAGGGUGCGUAGGUGGCUUUGUAAGUCAGUGGUGAAAGCCCGGAGCUUAACUCCGGAACUGCCAUUGAUACUGCUUAGCUUGAAUCAACUUGAGGUGGAUGGAAUAUUACAUGUAGCGGUGAAAUGCUUAGAUAUGUAAUAGAACACCGAUUGCGAAGGCAGUUCACUAAGGUUGUAUUGACACUGAGGCACGAAAGCGUGGGGAUCAAACAGGAUUAGAUACCCUGGUAGUCCACGCCUUAAACGAUGUAAACUCGACAUUAGCGAUAUACUGUUAGUGUCCAAGCGAAAGCGUUAAGUUUACCACCUGGGAAGUACGACCGCAAGGUUGAA